UUUAGUUUAAAGGAAAAAUUAUUUUUUAGAAAGUUUUUGAUCUAAACCAAUAUUUAGGUCAUCAAAUUUAAAUUUAGUGAUUUUUUAGAUUAGCUGAAAAUUUGUUGCUUUAAAUGAGGAGUUUCUAAGUACUGCAAACCUCAAAUGAAAAAAUAGUUUUGAGAAAGUAGAAACCAGGCUAUUUAAGAUAGACCUUGUUUUAUAUACACAUUAAAAUUCUGCCACGUAAUAUACUACAAUGAAAAAAAGAUGAAUCUUGAUAUUGAGAAUGACGUUAACGAUGUUUUUACUGAGUCUUGUUGUUUUGGUUUUAAGAUUAAAUGCGUCUCCUUUGAAAAGGUUCGAAAAGUUCAACUUGAUUAAAGCAUUUUCAUGUGAAAGCGAAUGCCAUGGUCAAUACGACCUUUGUGACUCUCAUUCCAGAUCUCUUGGCGAGCAAAUUAGCUGCGUGCAUAGAAGGCUGGGGUGUAUGCUAACCUGUGUAAAACCAGAAUAUCCAACGGAAUCACCAAUCAUUAUAAAUGGCUUUGUGGUUGAAGAAGAUAUAAUAAUAAGUAAAAAAUAGAACGAAAUUUUGUCUGUAUACUUUGUCUGUAAACAUUGUCUGUAUAUAAAAAUUAUGUGGAGAAAUGAUAGCUAGACGAAGAAUAUACAGCAUUAUGAUAAACUACAUGAAAAACAAUAUAUAUAUUUGUAUUUAUAUAUGUAUAUAGAAUAGUAUAUUUAUGACAAACAUAAUAUGUAGUUAUGCGAUAAUCAAAUAAGUAUAACUUAUUGAA